rnacentral:lncRNA from 1 species
CACAAUGUAAUCGCGAAGUUAUAUGGAGCAACCCCAGUGUUGGAAUCUCGCGUCAGAUGAACUUCUACGACGAGGAAGAACAGCCCAGGGUAAAAUCUCCCUCCUAACCCACUGUUGGUAACGUUACUGGUCAAACGUCUCUGCAAAAACCAAGUUUACGAGUUUGCAUAAAACGCUAGGGAAGGACAUGAAAAGAUGAGGGCUAUGCAUUGCUCUGUUCUGUCACUUAUUAAAAGAUUUCAGUAGGAGAUGUUCAAUGUUAAUGAAGCAUUCUGAAAUCUCUGAUCGUAUUUGAGACAAUUGGUACUGGCAAACUCCUAACAUUAUGAAGGUGAAAUCACAACAGGACAAAAAAGGGAAACGAAGUAUUUGUGUAGUCGACGAGCAGCGUCCAAUCAAUAAUUUGAAGGCUCCAGGUGAUGUUCUGUUGAGACCACCAGUUUCCAGUGACCAGAGGCGCCCAGCAGAGGAGUUAUGUACGCUGGCAGCAGCUGUGAUUGACAAUUUUGGAGCUGUUAACGUUCUUCCAACUGACAAGUUUGGUGCUGUUCACUGGUAUAACAACCAGUCUUCAAGCUUCGGUUCUACAUACAGUCAGCGAUUUGAGACUGCAGAAGAAUCAAUUGGAUCCAUCAACGUUCAAGGGGAUAACAAAAAGUUACUAGAGGAUGUUCGGGGGAAAUAUCAUCUCACAGAAUCUGGUAGUUUCUCCGUGAACGAAUCUGGAUGGGGGAGGAAUAAUCCUCUUCAUUCUACUUCAGCGGGUACAAGCAAUCCUUGUU